rnacentral:rRNA from 1 species
AGUGAACGCUGGCGGUAGGCCUAACACAUGCAAGUCGAACGGCAGCACAGUAAGAGCUUGCUCUUACGGGUGGCGAGUGGCGGACGGGUGAGGAAUACAUCGGAAUCUACUUUUUCGUGGGGGAUAACGUAGGGAAACUUACGCUAAUACCGCAUACGACCUACGGGUGAAAGCAGGGGAUCUUCGGACCUUGCGCGAUUGAAUGAGCCGAUGUCGGAUUAGCUAGUUGGCGGGGUAAAGGCCCACCAAGGCGACGAUCCGUAGCUGGUCUGAGAGGAUGAUCAGCCACACUGGAACUGAGACACGGUCCAGACUCCUACGGGAGGCAGCAGUGGGGAAUAUUGGACAAUGGGCGCAAGCCUGAUCCAGCCAUACCGCGUGGGCGAAGAAGGCCUUCGGGUUGUAAAGCCCUUUUGUUGGGAAAGAAAAGCAGCAGGUUAAGACCCCGCUGUUCUGACGGUACCCAAAGAAUAAGCACCGGCUAACUGCGU